UCCGUAGGUGAACCUGCGGAAGGAUCAUUAAAGAGUUGGGUACCUUUUGGUACCUUCUCCCACCCAUUGUGUACCUAUUCUGUUGCUUUGACAGGUCGGUUAUACCCCCUGGUAUACCCCCGGCUUAGGUUGGAGUGUACCUGUCAGAGGUUUUAAACUCUUUUACUAUUUGAAAAUCUGAGUUUACAAUCAAUUUAAAAACUUUCAACAACGGAUCUCUUGGUUCUGGCAUCGAUGAAGAACGCAGCGAAAUGCGAUAAGUAAUGUGAAUUGCAGAAUUCAGUGAAUCAUCGAAUCUUUGAACGCACAUUGCACCCUUUGGUAUUCCGAAGGGUACACCUGUUCGAGCGUCAUUAAAUUCUUCAAGCUUAUGCUUGGUAUUGGUUAAGGUCCUUUUUGGACCUUUCCAUAAACUUAUGAGACGAAAACUUUUUAACUUUAAGCGUAACAAGAAAACUUUCAUCGUUUGUUGUUUAAAAAGUUUCUUGUCUAAAUAGUAAACAAUAAAACUUGACCUCGGAUCAGGUGAGAAUACCCGCUGAACUUAAGCAUAUCAAUAAGCGGAGGAAAAGAAACCAACUGGGAUUGCCUUAGUAACGGCGAGUGAAGCGGCAAUAGCUCAAAUUUGAAAUCUGGUCUUUGUACCCGAAUUGUAAUUUGGAGAGGAUGUUUCGGGUACAUGUUCGGUACAAGUUCCUUGGAACAGGAUGUCAGAGAGGGUGAGAAUCCCGUACCUGACCGAAUAAUGUACCCAUGUGAAACUCCUUCAACGAGUCGAGUUGUUUGGGAAUGCAGCUCUAAAUGGGAGGUAUAUUUCUUCUAAAGCUAAAUACCGGCCAGAGACCGAUAGCGCACAAGUAGAGUGAUCGAAAGAUGAAAAGCACUUUGGAAAGAGAGUUAAAAAGUACGUGAAAUUGUUGAAAGGGAAGCGUUUACGGCCAGACUUGAUUAUGGUUGCUCAACCAGUUAUUUAACUGGUGCACUCUUCCAUAUCAGGCCAGCAUCAGUUAAGGUGGUUGGAUAAAGGUAUUAGGGACGUGGCACUCAAUUUUUGGGUGUGUUAUAACCUAAUACAUAAUACAUCCUACCUAGACUGAGGAAAGCGUUCGCUAGGAUGCUGGCUUAAUGGCAGUCAACGACCCGUCUUGAAACACGGACCAAGGAGUCUAGCACAUAUGCGAGUGUUUGGGUUUUAAACCCAUACGCAUAAUGAAAGUGAACGGAGGUGGGAUAUUUGCACCAUCGACCGAUCCUGAUGUUUACUGAAGGAUUUGAGUAAGAGCAUAUGUGCUGGGACCCGAAAGAUGAUGAACUAUGCCUAAAUAGACUGAAGCCGCCCGAAAGGGCGGUGGAAGGUCGCAGCGGUUCUGACGUGCAAAUCGAUCGUCAAAUUUGGGUAUAGGGGCGAAA
rnacentral:misc_RNA from 1 species